GCUGUGAUCCUGUUUCUCUGUGUAUCCUUUGUGUCCCCUCCCCCUCUGUCUGUCUGUGUGUCUGUGUGUGUGUGUGUGUCUGGAGGGUGUGGCUUCAAUCAAACACCUGGUGACUACUCACACCUGCAACUCAUCUGCUCAUCUGCCUCAAGCUAAGGCCCUGGGUUCAACUCGACUCAUUGCCAGAUUAUUGAGUCUGCUGAAGUGAUUUUCACCGGUGUCAUCUCCUCCAGUCUGCUCUCCUCUCAGACAACUCAACCAAUUACCUGCCUGCCUACGAAACCAGCUAACUCCAUGAGUCUCCUCCACGCCGUCACUACCAGCCAGCCAGUCAGCCAUCCACCUAUACCAAGCCCUGCAAUAGAACCUCAAACCCUUCAA